UCCGUAGGUGAACCUGCGGAAGGAUCAUUAAAGAUUAUGAAUGAAUAGAUUACUGGGGGAAUCGUCUGAACAAGGCCUGCGCUUAAUUGCGCGGCCAGUUCUUGAUUCUCUGCUAUCAGUUUUCUAUUUCUCAUCCUAAACACAAUGGAGUUUUUUCUCUAUGAACUACUUCCCUGGAGAGCUCGUCUCUCCAGUGGACAUAAACACAAACAAUAUUUUGUAUUAUGAAAAACUAUUAUACUAUAAAAUUUAAUAUUCAAAACUUUCAACAACGGAUCUCUUGGUUCUCGCAUCGAUGAAGAACGCAGCGAAUUGCGAUAUGUAUUGUGAAUUGCAGAUUUUCGUGAAUCAUCAAAUCUUUGAACGCACAUUGCGCCCUCUGGUAUUCCAGGGGGCAUGCCUGUUUGAGCGUCAUUUCUCUCUCAAACCUUUGGGUUUGGUAGUGAGUGAUACUCGUCUCGGGUUAACUUGAAAGUGGCUAGCCGUUGCCAUCUGCGUGAGCAGGGCUGCGUGUCAAGUCUAUGGACUCGACUCUUGCACAUCUACGUCUUAGGUUUGCGCCAAUUCGUGGUAAGCUUGGGUCAUAGAGACUCAUAGGUGUUAUAAAGACUCGCUGGUGUUUGUCUCCUUGAGGCAUACGGCUUUAACCAAAACUCUCAAAGUUUGACCUCAAAUCAGGUAGGAGUACCCGCUGAACUUAAGCAUAUCAAUAAGCGGAGGAAAAGA
rnacentral:sRNA from 1 species